UACGUAUGGAGCAAGCGUUAUCCGGAAUUACUGGGUGUAAAGGGAGCGUAGGCGGCAAGGCAAGUCUGAUGUGAAAACCCAGGGCCCAACCCUGGGACUGCAUUGGAAACUGUAUUGCUUAAGUACCGGAGAGGCAGGCGGAAUUCCUAGUGUAGCGGUGAAAUGCGUAGAUAUUAGGAGGAACACCGGUGGCGAAAGCGGCUCUCUGGCCUGUAACUGACACUGAGGCUCGAAAGCGUGGGGAGCAAACAGG
rnacentral:rRNA from 1 species